rnacentral:rRNA from 1 species
UUUGUGACAUACCUACAACUGUUGCUUCGGCGGGAUAGGCCGUCCCCUGAAAAGGACGCCUCCCGGCCCGGACCGGACCCCCCGCGGGACCGGACCCGGCGCCCGCCGGAGGAUAACCAAACUCUAUUGUAACGACGUUUCUUCUGAGUGGCAUAAGCAAAAUAAUCAAAACUUUUAACAACGGAUCUCUUGGUUCUGGCAUCGAUGAAGAACGCAGCGAAAUGCGAUAAGUAAUGUGAAUUGCAGAAUUCAGUGAAUCAUCGAAUCUUUGAACGCACAUUGCGCCCGCCAGCAUUCUGGCGGGCAUGCCUGUUCGAGCGUCAUUUCAACCCUCAAGCUCUGCUUGGUGUUGGGGCUCUACGGUCGACGUAGGCCCUCAAAGGUAGUGGCGGACCCUCCCGGAGCCUCCUUUGCGUAGUAACAUUUCGUCUCGCACUGGGAUCCGGAGGGACUCUUGCCGUAAAACCCCCCAAUUUUCCAAAGGUUGACCUCGGAUCAGGUAGGAAUACCCGCUGAACUUAAGCAUAUCAAUAAUCGGGAGGAAUC